rnacentral:rRNA from 1 species
CAGCAGCCACGGGAAUACGAAGGGGGCUAGCGUUGUUCGGAAUUACUGGGCGUAAAGCGCACGUAGGCGGAUCGAUCAGUCAGGGGUGAAAUCCCAGGGCUCAACCCUGGAACUGCCUUUGAUACUGUCGAUCUGGAGUAUGGAAGAGGUGAGUGGAAUUCCGAGUGUAGAGGUGAAAUUCGUAGAUAUUCGGAGGAACACCAGUGGCGAAGGCGGCUCACUGGUCCAUUACUGACGCUGAGGUGCGAAAGCGUGGGGAGCAAACAGGAUUAGAUACCCCUGUAGUCCCUGUCUCUUAUAC